ACGGGAAAACUUACCAGAACCAGACAUGGCUAGGAUUCACAUGCGAUUUUUUUCUGAUGAUUUCAUGGGUGGUGGUGCAUGGCCGUUCUUAGUUAGUGGAGUGAUCUGUCUGGUUGAUUCCGAUAACGAACGAGAUUUUAUCCUUCUUAAUAGAGUAUUGCAAACAUCUGCAGUCUUCUUCUUAGAGGAACUAUGCGGAAUUUUUACCGUAAGGAAGUUGGGUCAUAA
rnacentral:rRNA from 1 species